GCUUACUCCUCAAAAAAAAAAAAAAAAAAAAAAAAAAAAAAAAAUUAAGGGCUGCUUAAUGAGAAGUUGGAUUGCUGGUAUCUCCGUCUUAAUCCAGUAGAAGACACCGCAGUCUGAGACCUCGAUGAUUGAUUGGACGGGUUUCAAGUAUCGUUCGAAAGCCUUCUUCAUGAUUCAUUUUGGGAAACUUUCAAACUUUCGAUAUUGUGAGAGAUUAAGCUCCAGAGAGUGGGAGACAGAGAAGGAGGGGACUUUUCGCUGCCAAUCAGAAUAAGAAGAAGAAGAUUUGCUGAGGGAAAGUCUAGAGAGGAGGAAGGGAUGUCUUGGUCGAUUUUUCAGUCUGUUCCCAAUUUGGGAAUUUCCGUUUCACAUUCAAAGUUUCAAUCUUUAAAGAACGUUAUCAGGUAAAAGAGAUGGGAAUCGAGGUUGUGUACGAGGAAGAAGAGAAAAUGAGUAGCCAACAAAACACCUCAGAUCCUUAUUACGAUCCAGAUGUUGAUGUCAUUGGCACAGAGUUUACAGGUCUUGAAAUGGGUUUACAGGUCUUUUCAUUAUGUUUCAGUUUUUAUCUCUAUGUAUGAUCAUGAACUAAAACUAGAUCUGCUAAUUAUAUUUGUGCACUAUACUAUAGGUUGCUUGCUUCAAUUUUGGACUGGUUGGGAUUUAGGCGGAAUCGGAACGAGGCAGGUCUGUCUUUAUUGUGAUCUGACUGUUCAUACUUCAUAGUGACCUCUGAGAAGAAUUAACUGUCAUGCAAGUGCUUUCUGAUCUUGCAAAUUUAAAGUACACAGAUCAAAAACAGCUCCGACUAUCUCUCUUUGGAAUCUUGAUUUUGUUGUUUGAAUUUGGGGGAUAUGUAUUGGAUUUGAAUUUGCAGGUUUUGAUUUAGGGGUUUAUAUGCAUAUUACUCUGAUUUUGGAUUUGGUCUGUUUACUUUGUUGUCUUUCCCUUGAUAUUUAGAAAAAAAUCACAAUUAUGAAUUUAGCAAUGGAUUUAGAGAGGACUGAAGUAUAAAAUACAUUUUUGUUAGUAUAAAUAGAAGUCAGAAACUGUGCUAAAUUAUCAGCAUGUACUCAUAUAUCAGCAUCUCAGGCCAAAGUUGCUACAGUACUCAUAUAUCAGCAUCUUUGUUCUAUGUUGGAAAUUUCACCAUGUAUGCUAACUCUAGAAAUUUCAGGCCAAAGUUGCUACAGUAUUCAUAUAUCAGCAUCUUUGUUCUAUGUUGGAAAUUUCAGCAUGUAUGCUGAUAUAUGAGUUCUGUAGUAUGAUAAACCAUUAGCUGAUGAUAUGCACAAGACACAGUUUUGCAACUUGAAAUUUCAACCUGCUGAUAUGUCACCAGGGUGACUACAGACACACAGUUGUGAUUAGAGACAUAAGGUUGCUUCAUCCAAAGGAUAUACAGAACAUGGCAGCUUAUCAAUUACUCUUAUUCCAAUUGAAGCUACACGUACAGAAAUAUAAAGGGUGUCGGAUGUAUAGUGCAACAAAGUUGACUGUCAAUGACAAUUGGAUUGCGGAGAAUCCCUGCUACUUCUCCGAUAAUUGCUACUUCCUUAUCAAUGUAAUCUGAAAACCAAAUGUUGAGGUUCGUAGUUAUGUUUAAUCAAGAGAGAUUGUGAGAGCGUAAUUUGGAUUUGUUUAGAAAAUGAUACAACCGCAUUAUGUUGUUGUCUAUGUAAGGUUGGGAAGUUUUCAAUCAUCGAUGUUUCCAUUUGGGAGUUUUAGUUUCA